rnacentral:rRNA from 1 species
CCUACGGGAUGCAGCAGUGGGGAAUAUUGCACAAUGGGCGCAAGCCUGAUGCAGCCAUGCCGCGUGUAUGAAGAAGGCCUUCGGGUUGUAAAGUACUUUCAGCGGGGAGGAAGGUGUUGAGGUUAAUAACCUCAGCAAUUGACGUUACCUGCAGAAGAAGCACCGGCUAACUCCGUGCCAGCAGCCGCGGUAAUACGGAGGGUGCAAGCGUUAAUCGGAAUUACUGGGCGUAAAGCGCACGCAGGCGGUCUGUCAAGUCGGAUGUGAAAUCCCCGGGCUCAACCUGGGAACUGCAUUCGAAACUGGCAGGCUAGAGUCUUGUAGAGGGGGGUAGAAUUCCAGGUGUAGCGGUGAAAUGCGUAGAGAUCUGGAGGAAUACCGGUGGCGAAGGCGGCCCCCUGGACAAAGACUGACGCUCAGGUGCGAAAGCGUGGGGAGCAAACAGGAUUAGAUACCCCCGUAGUC